GGGGAAUUUUCCGCAAUGGGCGAAAGCCUGACGGAGCAAGACCGCGUGGGGGAUGAAGGUUUGUGGAUUGUAAACCCCUUUUGAUUGGGAAGAAUACUGACGGUACCAAUCGAAUAAGCCUCGGCUAACUCCGUGCCAGCAGCCGCGGUAAUACGGAGGAGGCAAGCGUUAUCCGGAAUUAUUGGGCGUAAAGCGUCCGUAGGUGGUUUAGUAAGUCUGCUGUUAAAGCGCGGGGCUUAACUCCGUAUCGGCAGUGGAAACUACUAGACUAGAGUGUGGUAGGGGUAGAGGGAAUUCCCAGUGUAGCGGUGAAAUGCGUAGAUAUUGGGAAGAACACCGGUGGCGAAAGCGCUCUACUGGGCCAUAACUGACACUGAUGGACGAAAGCUAGGGGAGCGAAAGGGAUUAGAUACCCCUGUAGUC
rnacentral:rRNA from 1 species